UACGUAGGUGGCAAGCGUUGUCCGGAUUUACUGGGCGUAAAGAGCGCGCAGGCGGUCGGAUCAGUCGAAUGUGAAAGCCCCCGGCUCAACUGGGGAGGGUCAUUCGAUACUGUCCGACUCGAAGGCAGGAGAGGGAAGUGGAAUUCCCGGUGUAGUGGUGAAAUGCGUAGAUAUCGGGAGGAACACCAGUGGCGAAGGCGGCUUUCUGGCCUGUUCUUGACGCUGAGGCGCGAAAGCUAGGGGAGCGAACGGG
rnacentral:rRNA from 1 species